CUCCUUUCUAAGGAUGAUCAAGAAUAGGGCUUUUUAAAAAUCCCUCCCUUUUUGAUCUGAUUAGACACAAAGUUUAAACAUGUGUUUGUUUAAACUGUGCAUAUGACGCUAACUCUCAAUAAAUCCCUCUCACCAAAAAGAGACCCCUCUUGAUCAUAAAGAGGAUCCCCCCCCGUCUCUUUGAGGCCCCUACCUCGGAUGAGAGAACUAUUUGAGGGCUUAGUGCUCAUGUGUUGAUACAAUAAGUGCAGAACAUGCCGUCUUCGUUUCUCUUUCUUCAGAUGAUGAUCCCAAGCCUUCUGGCGAUCUCUUAAAAAAAGCCUAGCCUGCUUUAAAAAAAACAGGACGUUUAGAUACUCUUUAAAUCCUUAUAAAUCUUAAAGAGUGUCCCUUUAAAAAAGGGCUUUAUGAAGAAAGCAUUUUAAGCUUUUCCAGUGAUUUAAGAUGAUACCGGGGAAGGUUUCCCGGUUUAUCCCGGAGGGCUUGUAGCUCAGUUGGUUAGAGCGCGCGCUUGAUAAGCGUGAGGUCGGAGGUUCAAGUCCUCCCAGGCCCACCAAUUUAUGCUCGUUUUUUACUUAUCCUGAGAGUUAUGAAGCUUAAGCGUAUUAAACGUAUCAAAGCCUCUUUAAUCUUUGUUCAUCGUUUAAAGAUUUUAUUUUAUCCUUCAAAAAUUGUUUGUUAAAUUUACAUUACGUUUAUCAAACAGUGCCUUUGUCAAAAAGAAGGAUUUUAAGUUCCCUUCAAGAGGAUAGACAAAUUUAAAGGAUAAAAGCUAAAAAAUGAUACAAAUCAAUAAAUGAUACAGAUCAAUACAAGUCAAAAUAAUAUUGAUCGAAAAAAUAGUAUUGAUUAAAAGAGGACAAGUUACUCAAGUUGAUAAUUUUUUUGAGGUUGAUUUGAGAGAGCAUUCUUUAGGGGCCGUAGCUCAGCUGGGAGAGCACCUGCUUAGCAAGCAGGGGGUCGUCGGUUCGAUCCCGUCCGGCUCCACCAUUUAGAUCAUCAUCAUGUUGUAAGAACACGGUUUAGUAAAAGGCUUAUUUACCCUUUUGCUUGUUCUAUUGAAAUUGUGAAGAGAAGAUAUAUUCAAACAUGAUUUUUUGUGCUCUGUCUUUUAAAGAUAGCGUUAUGAAAAAUAAUGUGUCGCAAGGGAAGGCUCAAAGCCCUUGCAUAUGAUUGGAAGCUUAACCGCGCCAUUGAAUAUAUCUCGAGAAGCUGGUCUUUUCUGCUGAUAUUUAUGUUUGUUGUGCGCUUGUGUUUUGCACAAGACCAAGAAAAGCAGACAAACGCAAAAUAAUCGGUAAACACCUUUGUGAUGACAAACUCAGUGAUGAGGAGAUCAUCGGAGGUUUUUAAAAGUGAUUGUUGAA
rnacentral:tRNA from 1 species